GCUUAGAAGCAGCCAUCAUUUAAAGAAAGCGUAAUAGCUCACUGGUCGAGUCGGCCUGCGCGGAAGAUGUAACGGGGCUAAACCAUGCACCGAAGCUGCGGCAGCGACACUUAUGUGUUGUUGGGUAGGGGAGCGUUCUGUAAGCCGUUGAAGGUGUGCUGUGAGGCAUGCUGGAGGUAUCAGAAGUGCGAAUGCUGACAUAAGUAACGAUAAAGCGGGUGA
rnacentral:rRNA from 1 species